rnacentral:lncRNA from 1 species
CUCCUGCCUGGUUUCCCAUAUGCAAAUUCCUAUAGCCUAUGAGUACAGUCUAUGAGUGCAGACCUACGUGUACCAGAUGCUAGACUGCGUCUCUUCUUUAGAGGAUUUAUUUUUAAGAGCCAAUCACGAUAAAGAGAAAUCUGACAAGCCACAGGAGAGGACGAAGAGGGUAUAAAAGGCAGGUUGGAUGAAGGAGGCUCUACCUUUGAGGCAAGAUGGCCAAGCUCACCCUCCUCACUGGUAAGGAAGAGCCUCUCCUCUGGGGCU